UACGUAGGGUGCGAGCGUUAAUCGGAAUUACUGGGCGUAAAGCGUGCGCAGGCGGUUCUGAAAGUCAGCUGUGAAAGCCCCGGGCUUAACCUGGGAAUGGCGGUUGAAACUACAGGACUAGAAUCUGGCAGAGGGGGGUGGAAUUCCACGUGUAGCAGUGAAAUGCGUAGAGAUGUGGAGGAAUACCGAUGGCGAAGGCAGCCCCCUGGGAUAACACUGACGCUCAUGCACGAAAGCGUGGGGAGCAAACAGG
rnacentral:rRNA from 1 species